rnacentral:rRNA from 2 species
GCAUAUCAAUAAGCGGAGGAAAAGAAACUAACAAGGAUUCCCCUAGUAACUGCGAGUGAAGCGGGAAAAGCUCAAAUUUAAAAUCUGGUGGUCUCUGGCCACCCGAGUUGUAGUCUGGAGAAGCGUCUUCUGUGCUUGGACCGUGUACAAGUCUCCUGGAAUGGAGCGUCAUAGAGGGUGAGAAUCCCGUCUUUGACACGGAUGGCCAGUGCUCUGUGAUACGCUCUCGAAGAGUCGAGUUGUUUGGGAAUGCAGCUCAAAAUGGGUGGUGAAUUCCAUCUAAAGCUAAAUAUUGGCGAGAGACCGAUAGCGAACAAGUACCGUGAGGGAAAGAUGAAAAGCACUUUGGAAAGAGAGUUAAACAGUACGUGAAAUUGUUGAAAGGGAAACGCUUGAAGUCAGUCACGUCUGCCAGAACUCAGCCUUGCAACCUUGCUUGGUGUACUUUCUGGUGGUCGGGCCAGCAUCAAUUUUGAUCAUCAGAUAAAGUUGAGGGAAAUGUGGCACCUUCGGGUGUGUUAUAGUCCCUUGUCACAUGUGAUGGUUGGGAUUGAGGAACUCAGCAUGCCCUUGUGGGCUGGGGCUUUGCCCCACAUCCAUGCUUAGGAUGCUGGCAUAAUGGCUUUAAGCGACCCGUCUUGAAACACGGACCAAGGAGUCUAACAUGCCCGCGAGUGUUUGGGUGGAAAAACCCAUGCGCGCAAUGAAAGUGAAAGUUUGGGACCUCUGUCAUGGAGGGCACCGAAGCCUGGCCCUGAAGUGCUCUGACGGUGCUGCGGUGGAGCGUGCAUGUUGGGACCCGAAAGAUGGUGAACUAUGCCUGAAUAGGGUGAAGCCAGAGGAAACUCUGGUGGAGGCUCGUAGCGAUUCUGACGUGCAAAUCGAUCGUCAAAUUUGGGUAUAGGGGCGAAAGACUAAUCGAACCAUCUAGUAGCUGU